AGACAUAAGACAUCAGUCAGUACAUGUGAGGUGUGCAUUGGAUUGAUCCAGAAAGUCAGGACGACUCCAAGUGGAAAGGCCUCCAGGUAAUAGGUGGAUUCAAAGAUGUUUCUGAUUGGCAGUUGGUUGAAAGAAGUUACUAUCUGAAGGCUUGGAAUCAAUAGAAAGGAGUGUCUGGGUUAAGAGAAGGGGCUGUGGAGACCGAGGUCCUUAUUAUGUGGAUGAAAUCUCAUAGGUGUCCGCCCUCAGAGGCAAUACAUGGCAAAUGUUUCCUAUUCAGACCUUCAAAAGGCACUAGACUCUCAGCCAGUCUCCUCAGGAUCAGAAAAAGAGCUGGAAAGGGAAGGGGAGUCUACAGAAUAUGAAUUUCCCCACAAGACACCGCUUUGCGGGGCCAUUUCAAAAUUUGUCAAAGAGAUAUAUUUUGGGGUAAAAUACAUUGAUACUUUGAGGGCCUGUUGUCACGUGAUGCUAUACCAGCGUCAGAUUGGAACUUGGUGUCUUGCUGCUAUGGAGUCUGCUGUCAGUCUGGUCAGCUGCACCUGAACUCCAAAGGGAGAGACAGGAGACAGUAAAAGAAAUGGCCUCUCUCCUCUGUCAGAGUGGAGUCCCGAGCUCCCAGAAAUGCCACAUGAUGGACAAACGCUUGGGGGAAAAAAAAAAAAAAGGAGACCUCAGUCGGACACAAAAGCAGGAGCUUUAAAAGAAAAAAUAAGAGAUAAGUUGAACUUCACCAAAAAAUAAGCGUUUCUGGUCUUUGAAAGACACUUAAAAUGAAAAGGCAAGCCAUCGAUGGGGAAAAUACUCAGAAUAAUGGAUCUGACAGAGGGCUGUAUCUAGAAUAUAUGAAGAUAUUUUAAAAUCCAGUAAUUUGACAUAAAGAUGGUAGCCAGCCUGACACACAAAGGAACCCGAAUGGCCAAUGGACAGGAAGGGAACCCGUAUGGCCGAUGGACAGAAAGGGAAGUGAACGUGAACAUCUCAUUGGGGAUGCCGUUAUCACCACUGGAAUAGUCAAAAACAUGGACACCAAGUAUUGGUGGGUGAGUGGAAUGGCGGGAACCCACAUACACGGUCGAUGGGAGCUGCACCCUUUGGAAAUCAUUUCACAGUUUGUGCUCCAUCCUGGCCAAACCCACAGCUGGAGUCUUUCCAAAAACAGUGACGGGAGUUUCCACCAGGGAGUGCCUCAAACCAUCCCGAGAUGGGGCUGGUUGGGAUUCCAGGGAGAGGCACUCGUUGCCAGGGUGAUCCGUCCAGAGCACUUCCUAGGGGAUCUGGCAUAAGGAGGGCUGCAGUGUAUCCUCAGGACAGAUAGGACAGAUAGUGUAUCUUUGGGACAGACGGCAAGAUGGGGAUUCCACCCAGGU
rnacentral:lncRNA from 1 species